GCUUCCUUCCAAAGGUGGAUUGAUUUGUGAUGUUGAGAUAAUCAACCAUAUGUUGCAGCAGGUACUCCGAUUUACCCCCGGGAUGAUUGGCUUCCCUUUGAACAAGUAUGAAGUCAGAGUACAGUUGGUGGGUGAUAAGUUCUCAAGAACCAAACAUAAUUGAAGCACUGAAGAAGACUGCAAGAAGUCAAGAAGGGAGCAGGAAGAAGUAAGUGGUGAUUAAGCAUUUCACAAGCUCCUAGGUGAACCCAGCCCACCUGUGAUCACAGGUAAGACAAUAAGAAACAACACAUCAGGGUCAUUCCAGUGACUAACAGAAAAAAAUAAAAGUAUAAACUAGGUUUAUGUUUCAUCUUAGCCUAUAUGAAUCAAGUACAGUCUCAGUCCUGGCAUCUCUAAGGAGUCAAAUACUUUUUAAUAAACCUAGUUUAUUUAUAUAUAUAUAUUCUAAUUACCAACUAAUUUAUAUUUUUUCCAGUUAUUAACAUUUUAACACUGGUCCACUGGUUCUUUUAGUGUGAGAAGUGAUCUGAGUUUCUUGAAUGACAUUGCUGCUCAGAUAAUUUCUAUUUUGUUUUACUGAAAAUCACAAAGAUCAUAUGAGACGCUUCUAUGCUUGCUUAAGUACUAGUGUUAUAUCUCUUUUUAUGUGCUGUUUUAAUUGUCCAUCAGUUUGCAGAGAUUGGAGCCCUCUAUUGAAAUUUGCAAAGUGUGACACUGGUUGCACACACGUGUCCUGUAAAUGUGCUAAGGAAAACCAAAACCACUCAGGCAGAGUUAAAAACCUCCAAAAAAUCUGAUUUUUCUUAUACUAAGAAGGAGUAUAUAUAGAAGAGUUUACUGCUGAACUUGGUGUGUAGUUUGAUAGUAAUUUAUUACUACCUGAACUAUAGAAAACUGUUUGCAUGCCCAAAGUUCCUGCCUGUUAGAACUGUUCUGUAGAAAGGGUCUGUGUGUAGCUGCAAAAGAAAAAGAACAAAUGGACGUGCUCCAUGCAAGUCUGCUUGGGCCUAAGAGCAGCUCUGUGGGAUCAGAGACAUUGGCAAAGCGGAGGGAAGCAUGCUCUUGUAUUGGAAGAACUGAUAGAGUUGAAGGGUGAACAGAAGAGAAAAACAUUUGGAUAUUACCAGCAUUCUUUCAGUUUCGCCUCCUCAGUUAUCCUUGCCUACAAGCACUGCAGGUAAGGACCUACUUUCUUUUUUCUUUCUUAAAAGGAUGCAGUUGGAUGAGGGGUGUGUGUGUGCAUCUCACAGCUCCACAGGCAAUCCACUAGAGGCUAAUAAUUAAGAUAGGAUGUCAUCAAAGAAACACAGGCAGUCAAGUACUUCUGUGUCUAUCCGUAAGUGGAAGCCACAGCUGUAACAGCUUGAAACAAACCGUAGUUAGUAUUUUUCACAGAGAUGGGUAGUUUAUACAGAGCAUGUAGAGAUAGAUUGGAGCUUUGGAAGAAAGGAAGGAAUCUGUAAAUUUCCAUAGCUCAGGAUUAGAAUGUGACAUUUCCCUUCACAAGAAAAAUUAUCUUCUGGAUCCAUUCCUUCCAGUAUAUCAACAACUUUCUCUCAAUUACCUUUUAGUUCGAGUGAAUAAAAGGCUGCAAUCAUCCUU